GGAUGUGAGGACCACCUGGCUGCAACAUCUGUCACUCCAUUGAUAGCCAGGGUUGAUUCAACUGAUCUGCCUGGCAAGGAGUGUCACCUCCUUCACCACUCAACGUAUGUCCCUCCUGACAUUUCAUCCUUCCUCAAAGAGGACAACCUUCCCCAAUAGAGGAGGACAAUUUGGUCAAGAGUAUAUAAGUAGCUGCACUCCCCUGCUAGAACCUCCAAACAAGCUUUCAAGAAUGUCCAAAAUGCUGGGCACAGUGGUGCAUGCAUGUAAUCCCAGUAACUCAGGAGGCUGAGGCAGAAGGAUUACAAGUUCAAAACCAGCCUCAGCAACU
rnacentral:snRNA from 1 species